rnacentral:rRNA from 1 species
CGCCUGCCUGGGUGUCAC